UAAUACGUAGGGGGCUAGCGUUGUCCGGAAUCAUUGGGCGUAAAGGGCGUGUAGGCGGUCCGGUAAGUCGGCUGUGAAAAUCCAGGGCUCAACUCUGGGAUGCCGGUCGAUACUGCCGGACUAGAGUUCGGAAGAGGCGAGUGGAAUUCCCGGCGUAGCGGUGAAAUGCGCAGAUAUCGGGAGGAACACCUAUGGCGAAGGCAGCUCGCUGGGACGUUACUGACACUGAGACGCGAAAGCGUGGGGAGCAAACAGGA
rnacentral:rRNA from 1 species